rnacentral:rRNA from 1 species
GACGAACGCUGGCGGCGUGCCUAAUACAUGCAAGUAGGACGCAGUUGCGAACGGGUGAGUAACGCGUAGGUCACUGCCGAUUGGUGGGGGAUAACUAUUGGAAACGAUAGCUAAUACCGCAUACUAGUAGAUGGAGCUGCGUUGUAUUUGCUAGUAUGUAGGGUAAUGGCCUACCUAGGCAACGAUACAUAGUCGACCUGGGAGGGAGAUCGGCCACACUGGGGAUGGGGCAAGGCCCAGGCUCCCACGGGAGGCAGCAUGAGGGAAUCUUCGGCAAUGGGGGGAAACCUGACCGAGCAACGCCGCGUGAGUGAAGAAGGUUUUCGGGUCGUAAAGCUCUGUUGUUAAGGAAGCGGUACUUAACCAGAAAGGGACGGCUAACUACGUGCCAGCAGCCGCGGUAAUAC